rnacentral:rRNA from 1 species
CCUACGGGUGACUGCAGUGAGGAAUAUUGGUCAAUGGACGAGAGUCUGAACCAGCCAAGCAGCGUGAAGGAUGACUGCCCUAUGGGUUGUAAACUUCUUUUAUAAAGGAAUAAAACGAGGCACGUGUGCCUUUUUGCAUGUACUUUAUGAAUAAGGAUCGGCUAACUCCGUGCCAGCAGCCGCGGUAAUACGGAGGAUCCGAGCGUUAUCCGGAUUUAUUGGGUUUAAAGGGUGCGUAGAUGGUUGGUUAAGUCAGUUGUGAAAGUGUGCGGCUCAACUGGAAAAUUGCAAUUGAUACUGGCAGUCUUGAGUACAGUUGAGGUAGGCGGAAUGCGUGGUGUAGCGGUGAAAUGCUUAGAGAUCACGAAGAACCCCGAUUGCGAAGGCAGCUUACUAAGCUGUUACUGACAUUGAGGCACGAAAGUGUGGGUAGCAAACAGGAUUAGAUACCCUAGUAGUC